UUUAUAUUGAUGCAACACAUCAAAGGAGAAGUAAAUGUGAAUUGCAAUUGACAGGAUUAACUGGGUUGGCAGAUUUGGUAAAUGGAUGUAAUCUAUUGAAAUUGGAUUUGGAGAAUAGAGUAGAGACGGGAGAGCAAGCAAACACAGGAGAACAAUCAGACACUGGAAGUCAAGCAAAUGCAAAGACUGGAGGUCAAGCAAAGGCAAGAUUCAGGUAAGGUGGGACCUAAGUUAAAAAGAAUGAAAACUGAUAUGAGAACUCUGUAGACCAAGACUAACACAGAGUUAGAAGAGGUUUUUGGUGGACACAAAAGCUGCACGCCUGCAACCUAUCUAUUGCGGGUCUGCGGAAGGAGGUUGUAUCAGAUCAAGGGCUUUGUAGGUUAAGUUGCAACUCAUGCAGUGUACAAUCUGUUGUACCAAGCAAAGUCCAACCGGUUUUAAAAUUUGCUCAUUUGACUUGAAUGAGCAAAUUUUGUACUAAGAGUUAGUGAUAUAAAAAUAUAGCUUUGCUCAUUUCUAUUUAAAUGAGUAAAAAUAACUUUCUUUUGUUAAGUGAAAAACUUUAUGUUGUAAUUUGAAACUAUUAUUGUUGUUGUUGAAAUGAUAUAAAAGCUUAAUUUUGUUUUUUUAUGGUCUGUAAGUUGAAAUAGAGAAAAACAAAAGGAAGAUUUUGGACAAAUUUGCUCCCAAUAUCAAAAGCAAACUUCAAUUCAGGAACAAUAACACAAGUUUCAUGGCCACCAACAGAUAAACCUUUAACUAAAUAACCUUCAAUUUCAAACCCUUUUCUGUGAACUUUAGCCUUGGCUUUUCUGUACUCUUCUUCUUCAAUUGCUCGCCUAAUUGCAGAGGAUAGACCAGUACCACCACCAGAACCAGACCCUUUAACUGCUUCAACCCGACCCAAACCCAAACUCAGUUUUGGCUUGUCCCACGCGAGUCCAAAUCUGAAUUCGAUAUUUUCAGGUCGGUUUCGGAUCGGGUC